rnacentral:rRNA from 1 species
AUUGAACGCUGGCGGCAUGCCUUACACAUGCAAGUCGAACGGUAACGGGCCUUCGGGCGCCGCCGAGUGGCGAACGGGUGAGUAAUGCAUCGGAACGUACCCUUCAGUGGGGGAUAACGUAGCGAAAGUUACGCUAAUAGCGCAUAUUCUGUGAGCAGGAAAGCAGGGGAGCGCAAGACCUUGCGCAGAUUGAGCGGCCGUCGUCUGAUGAGCUAGUGGGUGAGGUAAAGGCUCACCAAGGCGACUAUCUGGAGCGGGUCGGAGAGGAUGAUCCGCCACACUGGAACUGAAACACGGUCCAGUCUCCUACGGGAGGCAGCAGUGGGGAAUUUUGGACAAUGGGGGCAACCCUGAUCCAGCCAUGCCGCGUGGGUGAAGAAGGCCUUCGGGUUGUAAAGCUCUUUCGGCCGGGAAGAAAUCGUAUGGGCUAAUACCCUGUGCGGAUGACGGUACCGGCAUAAGAAGCACCGGCUAACUACGUGCCAGCAGCCGCAGUAAAAC